UACGGAGGAUGCGAGCGUUAUCCGGAUUUAUUGGGUUUAAAGGGUGCGUAGGCGGGAUGCCAAGUCAGCGGUAAAAAUGCGGUGCUCAACGCCGUCGAGCCGUUGAAACUGGCGUUCUUGAGUGGGCGAGAAGUAUGCGGAAUGCGUGGUGUAGCGGUGAAAUGCAUAGAUAUCACGCAGAACUCCGAUUGCGAAGGCAGCAUACCGGCGCCCUACUGACGUUGAGGCACGAAAGCGUGGGUAUCGAACAGG
rnacentral:rRNA from 1 species